CAACUCUGAGAUUCGCAUGUUGUCACAUUGUUUUGGUCGCCACGAUAAGAUUAGCUAGGCCGGGCGGCGGCUUAUCUUGUGUGUGUGCAUGAACAGCCGACUUCUAGCUAAAGCCAAGUGGCAUGCAACCGAUCCAGCGAGCAAUACAAAACACCUUUGACAAUUGUACAAUAGAGUUCGAAGCGCGUGCUUUGUAAUUUGCAAAAGAGUUAACAAAACAAUCUUAUCUGCACCAAUAAUAACAGACUGCGUAUUCACAUAAGAAAAUUUAACUGUAUUACACAAAAUCUUUCUUAUGUGCAUACAAGUUUGUAAUUAUUGCUGCAUCAGUAUAAAAGUUAAAACUAAAUGCAGCGUGAUCGUUUAUCAUUGCCAUGAGACUCGGAUAUAUGAGGCUCUAGCUCUUCCUCGGUCAAAAACAUUUGUCCACAAUCCACGCAUUUCAAAAAUGUAAAGUCCAACGAUUGUAUCUGAUGCGUUGUAAACAUGUGAAAAUGCAACUCACGCUCAGUGCCAAAGCGCCAGCCACACUUUUCACACAAAGCUGGAUUGAUGACUUCAUUAUGCACAUUGCUCAAGUGUCGACGCAGAUCCGCAUAGGAUGGUAUAUUUAUGGGAAAGCCAACACCACAGCGUAGACACAGCCAAGGACCUCUUUGUUAUCAACGCAGCGAUUGUCUGUCUUCGAUGCUGACUGCAAAGGAUUAGGACUUGUAGCUGGAGUUAUAGAUGCACGCUUCAGUGUUGUAAUCUUCACAUGAGCAGGAAUUUCGGUAUUUGACUUGGAGCGUUUCGGUAACAAUUUUCCAGUGUGCUCAUGCGUUUCAACUUGAGGCUCCGCUUCAUACUUUAGUUCAUAACUCGCACCAGUCUGUUUAUGAUUUAAAGGAAAGGCACGUCUCA